rnacentral:rRNA from 1 species
AUGAACGCCCUCCUCCGCAUGCAGGCUGAAGCCGAGGAGGAUACGGUGGACCACUUUGUCCGGGAGUGGCUGAAGCAGCUCCGGGAGGUGGGCUACGACGCCCAGGACUGCGUCGAUCUCUAUUUGUUCCGCGUGAGGACCAGGUCCGGCGACCGCCUCAUCGUCGGGUGCAAGCGACGGAUUAAGACGCUUUGGUGUCGCCAUUACCUCGCCGCUGAUAUCAGGGCCCUCCGCACCCAUGCUGCCGCCAUCAACGAGCAACAUGCUCGUUAUGGCGUCAGCCUCGAGUCACUGCGCCGUCCUCCUUCCAAUAUGCCAACGGUCCGGGCGUCGGCGCAUGUGUUCCACCUCCACCAUGCCGACGACCCUCACAGGUUCGUCGGCAUCAAGGAACAGGCCAGUGGCCUGGAGGAUAAGGUGAAGGCGGCGAGCGACACCACUGAUGUCAAGGUAUUCUCCAUUGUGGGGUUCGGUGGGCUCGGAAAGACCACGCUGGUCAUGGAGGUGUGCCGGCAGCUGGAAGCCGACUUCGAGCGCCAAGCACAAGUGUCCGUGUCCCAGGUGCUCGACCUCAAGGUACUCCUCAGGGACGUGCUGCAUCAGAUCGUCAAGCUGAAAGCUGCAGAUCGUGCAGAAACUGUCAACCAGCCCCUUGCUGGCAUCGACAGCAUGAACAUUGAACAGCUCCGCAAAAAUAUCCACUCGAUUCUUACCAAGAAGAGGUACCUUAUUGUGAUCGACGAUGUUUGGACCGAAGUAGCAUGGAAUUCAAUCCGAUCCAUGUUACCAGAUAACGACCUCGACAGUAGAAUCAUUGUGACCACUCGGAUAGAAACUGUGGCCAAAGCAUGUAGCUAUGCUCAUGAUGAUUACAUCCAUCCUAUCGCGCCCCUCAAUGAAGAUAACUCCAAGAAGUUAUUCCUCAGAAGUACUUUUGGCUCCAUAAAUGCCUCUUGCCCCGAGGAUCUGAAAGAUUCUAUGGAAAAAGUUCUAAAAAGAUGUGGUGGACUGCCAUUGGCCAUUGUAAGCAUUGGCAGCCUUUUGGCAGGCUACAGAUCUCCUGAAAGCAAAUAUAUGUGGGAAACAGUUCUGAAAUCACUUGGUUCACAGAUAGAUAACCACCCUACCCUUGAGGGGAUGAGACGGAUAAUCACACUUAGCUACGACCACCUACCUCAUCACCUCAAGAAUUGCAUGAUGUAUCUCAGCAUAUUCCCGGAGGACUUUUUGAUUGCCAAGGAUAGGUUACUGAGGAGAUGGAUUUCCGAAGGAUUGGUUGCUGAGAAGCGGGGGUUGACCCUAAUGGAGAUUGCAGAAGGCUACUUCAAUGAGUUGGUGAGUAGAAGCAUGAUUGAUCGGGCUGCAGAUAGAGUGACCGAUACUGAUGGGAGGGAGCAGAUGUGUCGUGUGCACGACAUGAUGCUUGAGGUCAUGGUGUCCAAAUCCCUUGAGGCUAACUUUGUAAGCCUGUUAGGUGAGGCGUACGAAGGGAUGUCAUAUGAUAGGGUUCGCCGCCUCUCCAUCCAUGGUGGAGAGCAUGGCAGGAAAAAUGAAAUCAAGGGGAUGAAUGUAAAACAUGUCCGAUCACUUAGUAUGUUUGCACUUGAUGGGCACAAUUUGCUUAAUCAGCUAGAUGAGUUCACCUUGCUGAGGGUACUUGAUCUGGAAAACUGCAGGGGCCUAGGAAAAAGUCAAAUGGAUUAUAUCUGCAGAAUGUACCUUCUAAGGUUCUUGAAUUUGAAAGGAACAGAUGUCAGUGUGAUUCCUUCCAAAAUUGAUCAGCUAGAGCAUUUGCAGACACUUGAUGUACGUGCCACACGCCUUGAAGAUCUACCAAAAACUGUGACAAAUCUGGAGAAACUUGAGAGCCUGCUGUACUCCAACAAGGAGAGAUACUGGGAUUUCCAUUGGGAAGCGCCAAAGGGCCUAAGAAAAAUGAAGGCUCUACGGAAGGUGAAUAAUUUGACCGUCAGAUCCAACAUUGAUGUUAUUGAGGAGAUCGGCGAGCUAGAACAAUUGGAAGAAUUAGAUAUCUCUGUU